GACGAACGCUGGCGGCGUGCUUAACACAUGCAAGUCGAACGGAAAGGCCCUGCUUUUGUGGGGUGCUCGAGUGGCGAACGGGUGAGUAACACGUGAGUAACCUGCCCUUGACUUUGGGAUAACUUCAGGAAACUGGGGCUAAUACCGGAUAGGAGCUCCUGCUGCAUGGUGGGGGUUGGAAAGUUUCGGCGGUUGGGGAUGGACUCGCGGCUUAUCAGCUUGUUGGUGGGGUAGUGGCUUACCAAGGCUUUGACGGGUAGCCGGCCUGAGAGGGUGACCGGCCACGUUGGGACGGAGAUACGGCGCAGACUCCUACGGGAGGCAGCAGUGGGGAAUGUUGCACAAUGGGCGGAAGCCUGAUGCAGCAACGCCGCGUGCGGGAUGACGGCCUUCGGGUUGUAAACCGCUUUCGCCUGUGACGAAGCGGGAGUGACGGUAAUGGGUAAAGAAGCACCGGCUAACUACGUG
rnacentral:rRNA from 1 species